rnacentral:misc_RNA from 1 species
AAGUCGUAACAAGGUUUCCGUAGGUGAACCUGCGGAAGGAUCAUUAGUGAGUGCGUGAUGGAUGGUGAGAUUAUGCGUGGUGUUUAGCUCCGUCUAGGCAUAAUGUGUAGUUGAACCCAUGAUACUUGCUCUCGCAAGAGAGUGAGCAAACACGAGAACUAUUGACAUUUAUCUUACAAUUCAAUAUUACUUUUAACAACGGAUCUCUGGGCUCCC